rnacentral:lncRNA from 1 species
GAUUAUUAAUUUUUUAUAUAUUAUUUUUUCAAAAGAAAUAUUUUUAAAGAAUACAAAUUCUAACAAAAAAAAUUCAUUUUUUUGGCUUGAAAAUUAACAAAUGAUCCAAUUCAUAUAAAGAGAGAUGUUUUGAAGUUGAACUUGGAAAAAUAUUAGUUAUAAAAUAAAAAAUGUAGCAUUGAUUUUAAAUAAUUUUGUUUAAAAAAAGUAUACACAACUGGUCUGGUUCGGUCUGGUCCAGUUUGGUGCGGUGUAAAAUCAAAAUCGAAACCGAUUAGUACCAGUCCGAUUUGGUUUGGUGCCGAUUUGUUGACUUUUUUGGUUAACCAAUUUUUUUCUCUUAUUUUUAUCCGGUCUGGUUUGAUUU